GAUGAACGCUGGCGGCGUGCCUAAUACAUGCAAGUCGAGCGAACAGACGAGGAGCUUGCUCCUCUGACGUUAGCGGCGGACGGGUGAGUAACACGUGGAUAACCUCCCUAUAAGACUGUGUUAACUUCGGGAAACCGGAGCUAAUACUGGGUAAUAUAUUGAACCGCAUGGUUCAAUAGUGUAAGACGGUUUUUCUGUCACUUAUAGAUGGAUCCGCGCCGCAUUAGCUAGUUGGUAAGGUAAUGGCUUACCAAGGCAGCGAUGCGUAGCCGACCUGAGAGGGUGGUCGGCCGUCCUGGAGGGGAGGCGCCGUGCAGACGCCUACGAGAGGCAGCAGCAGUGAAUAUUCCGGCAUGGGGGGAGGCCUGAUGGUGCAGCGCCGCGUCAGGAAUGAUGGCCUUCGGAGCGUAGAAAUCUUCUAUUAGGGAAGAAGAAGUGUGUACUCAACUGUGCGCGUGUUGACGGUACCUAGUCAGAAAGCGACGGCUAACUACGUG
rnacentral:rRNA from 1 species